ACUCAAAUGAAUUGACGGGGGCCCGCACAAGCGGUGGAGCAUGUGGUUUAAUUCGAUGCAACGCGAAGAACCUUACCUGGGCUCGAAGUGCUCUGUAAACCCAUGAAAGUGGGCUAGUCCCGCAAGGGACGCGGAGCAUAGGUGCUGCAUGGCUGUCGUCAGCUCGUGUCGUGAGAUGUUAGGUUAAGUCCUGCAACGAGCGCAACCCUUGUCCUUAGUUGCCAUCAGGUUAUGCUGGGAACUCUAAGGAGACUGCCGACGUCAAGUCGGAGGAAGGUGGGGAUGACGUCAAGUCCUCAUGGCCCUUACGUCCAGGGCUACACACGUGCUACAAUGGCCGGUACAGAGCGUCGCAAGACCGCAAGGUGGAGCAAAUCGCAAAAAACCGGUCUCAGUUCAGAUUGUACUCUGCAACUCGAGUACAUGAAGUUGGAAUCGCUAGUAAACGCGGAUCAGCAGGUCGCGUUGAAUACGUUCCCGGGCCUUGUACACACCGCCCGU
rnacentral:rRNA from 1 species